rnacentral:rRNA from 1 species
UGAGGGAAUAUUGGGUCAAUGGGCGAGAGCCUGAACCAGCCAAGUCGCGUGAAGGAUGAAGGUUCUAUGGAUUGUAAACUUCUUUUAUUCGAGGGUAAAGUGAGGUAUGUAUACCUUAUUGCAAGUAUCGAAUGAAUAAGCAUCGGCUAACUCCGUGCCAGCAGCCGCGGUAAUACGGAGGAUGCGAGCGUUAUCCGGAUUUAUUGGGUUUAAAGGGUGCGCAGGCGGCGCGCCAAGUCAGCGGUCAAAGUUCCGGGCUCAACCCGGUGUCGCCGUUGAAACUGGCGUGCUCGAGUGCGUGCGAGGAAGGCGGAAUGCGUUGUGUAGCGGUGAAAUGCAUAGAUAUGACGCAGAACUCCGAUUGCGAAGGCAGCUUUCCAGCGCGCUACUGACGCUGAGGCACGAAGCGUGG